AAAUUGUUCUCCUGGUUCUGUUCACUCACUUUCUAUCAGAACGUAGAAAUCUCCCAAGAUUUCUUUCAAACUUUCCAUUUCAUAAUAUUUACAUACCCAGACUUGUUCAGCCAUCUCCAAAUUGAAGGGUGGCUAAUUCUUUGCUAUCUUAAGAAAGUUAUAAAUAUUUUUGUACAUACUUAGAGAGUUUUUCCUUAUAAUUAAUUCCUCCCUUAAUCUGUCCUUUUAAUUAUCCCUUCCUCUUUCUCCUCUUUCCCUCUCUUUUUUGAGUGAAAUAUAUUUCUGUACCCAACUGUUUCUAUGUGUAUUAUUCCAUCAUUUUACUAUUUUAGAUGAGAUGAAAGCUGACUGAUUCCUCUUUCCAUUAUUUUCUUAAGAUCAUUAAUAUACAACAGAAUCACUUCCAAGCCUUGCCUAUUUAGGCUCCUGUGAGAGAAUAAUAUUGGAGAACAACCUGCAAACAGAUGCAAUGGAUGGAACUUUGAAGAGCUGUCCAUCAAGGAGCAUUCCAGAGGACAAUGUGACCUGGAGAAGUCAGUUAAAAGAAACACCCAAACUGCUGGAAAAAAAUCUCUCUUUCUCCUGGCACUUGAAGGAGGAAGAACUGAGAAGCUCCUUUCCUUGUUGGUUACUGAUUUUCUCUCUACAUUUUUACACAGCUCUGAUCUUUUCAUCAGGGAUGUUUGGAAGUCUUUUAUUUUAUUGAUGAUCUAUUUUUUCCCCUCCUGUAACAUUUUACUCAGUUUUGCUGGGUAAGUUAUUCUUAGGUAUAAUACCCUUAUUGUUUAUCUUCUGCAAUAUCAUAUUCCAAAAAAUCUGCUCCUUUAUAGUGUUAUGGUGGCAGGUGUAUAGUGUACAGAUAGGUGUAUAGUGGUUAUAUGUUAUAGUGGUAGGUGCCCAUAUCACGUGUGAUCUUAUGAUCUCUUAGUAUAUGGAUUAUUUCUUUCUGGUUGUCUGUAGUAUUUUUUCUUUGAUUUGGAAACUCUGGAUUUUGACUAUGAUGUUCUUUAAAAUUUCAUUUUAAAGUCUCUUUCAGGGGGCAACCUGGGGGAUCCUUUUUAUUUCUACUUUUCCCUCUGGUUCGAAGUUGUUUCUUUUUAAGAUGUCUUGAAAUAUAAUAUGUUGGCUCUCUUUUUGGGUUGUGGUGUUCAAAUAGUCCAAAUUUUUUCAGAUUCUUAAUUUUUUCUUCCUCAUUCUGUUUUCCAGGUCAGUUGUUUAUAUAAUGAAGUACCAUAUUUUCUUCUAAAUUUUCAGUCUUUUGACUUUGCUUUAAUGGUUCUUCUUGUCUAAUUGAAUUAUUGGAUUCUAUUUGGUCCUUUCUAAUUUGGGGGGGAUUUCUUGCUUGGG
rnacentral:lncRNA from 1 species